AUUCUGAACACAAUGGGGAAAAGAGCUCGGCAGGAACUUCAAUGCCUGAGAAGAUUAUUGAGGGUCUCGAGGUUCAUUAGGAACCAUUUUAGAUUGAGCAAUCCAAGCCUAGAAUAUGUAUGUGGACGGCCCGAGAAGAACAACCUAAGUGUAGGUGUCAAUGUAGGUGCAGGUAUGGUAUCGAAAAGCCCUAUGGGAGCAGUUUUUGAAUACUGUCUUAGGUUGAAUUUUCCUACAACUAACAAUGAAACAGAAUACGAAACCCUUAUAGCACGCUUGAAAUCUUCCAAGAAGAUGCAAAUUACCAAGCUACAUAUCUUUAGUGACUCGAAUUUGAUAGUUAACCAAGUUACUAGAGAGUAUGAAGCUCAGGGGAUUAAGAUGUCGGAAUACUUGGCAGUAGCAAAGCCUCUUCUAAAUGAAUUUCGAGUUGUUAUGAUUGAACAAAUUGGAAGACAACUUAACUCACAUGCUGAGCUAACCCAAUUAGUUCAAAUAUCUACUUUUUCGGUUGAAUAUUUUAAUUUCUAUCCAAAAUUAGAAUUUUUGAAGCCAGUUAAAAUAACACUGAAACUAAGAUAGAUUUGGACUUUGAUAUUGUUGUGCCAAGGACCAGUCACCAAUAACAUCUAACCUAUUAAAACACACACAUGACGACACAGAUAUACGUGAUUCGGCCAAUCUGCUACGUCCACGGAGAGGAAACAAUAAUCACUACACCGAAGAAUUUACAUACCAAAAUGCGAGAUCCACACUCCUCUCAUCUCUCACCAUCUCACUGUCUAUUCUCUCCUCUACAGCCACAACAACACAUUCCCCCCAAGAUACACAACCCUCACUCCCAGCCCAUUUGCACAAGCAACAUGUGUGUGCUCUCGUAAUCCCCAAGGAUUAUAUUUCUGUGCACCCAAUCCUCUUUACUUCGAGACACAAGCCUUAUAUAGAGAAGUGAAGCCUCUUUCUUGACAAUGGAAGGCAAGGACUGCAGCAGCUCAAGAGACCACAGCAUCGCAGACUUCAAAAUGGCUGCAGCGCAAAAUGAAGACCUUCAUUCGCAGAACAAGAAGGACUCUUUUCCAAAUAUAGCAUGAGUUUGGGUUUGGGUUGGCUUGGGCUUGGGCCCUGGCCCAAUAGUGUUGGACUCCCAAGUGGGCUUGGGCUUCUUCUUAAAUGGGUAGACUUUAACAAUCUCCCCCUCCAGCCCAUGCAAUUGGAGGGUAAUCCGAGUAUUAAUGUCCAUCUGACAAUUAUGGCCAGCCCCUCAUAAGAUUGUGAAGACAGCAGUUUGAGUACGUUGCCCUCAUUCAACAGGGCAACUCCACUUCCACUGAAGUGAAUGCACUUCCAAAUCUAAGUGCUGCACCUUAUCAUGUAGGUUGCCAUGCAACCCCAAAUGGGGUGCAGAAACGGGAACGGGUUCUGUGUCUGCCCCUAGCACGGUCGCUCGCCCGUGUCGGCUCACUAGGCACUUGCCCUUGGCAAGGGUCGGCUCUUGCCCAUCGGCUUGGCUAGGCACUCUACCCAUGUAUGGUUCUGGUAAUAAAUCAAAUGCAGCUCACUGGCUGCCCCAAAAAACGCCACUGUGUAUGGAUGGCUUUGCUCGGUUGCUCUACACGGUGGCUCUGCUCAAUUGGAUCUGCACGUUGGCUCUACAGGUGACCUUCUGCUCAAUGUAUGGGACAGGUUAUCAAAUGCAGUUCGGAACUGCCCAAUGCAGUACGAGGCUGCCAGAUGCAACUCACGGGGUGCCCAUCAAAUUGCAAUACAAAACUGCCCAACGCAGCCACUGAAUGCUGCCAGAUGCAACUUACGAGUUGCCCAGAAUCUCCUUCAAACAUGUGUUACGGAAUUGACGGUUCGAACUCCUCCAAAAUACGGGAUUGCUGAGGACAUAUGCAUCAAACAAGUAUGGGGAUCCGGUUUGCCAGCAACAGGUACCAAAUGCAGCAAACUAGCUGCCAGACGUAUGUAGUUUUCGGAAUGCUACGAAAAAAUGCAGUUCUCAUAUACGCCAGAACAUAUGUAGUUCUCCAGAAUACUGCGACAAACGCACUCUCGGUCCAUACUAGCAGGACAUAUGUAUUCUCGGAAAAUACUACGACACACGCGAGUUUCGGAAAUACUACCAGAAUCUCCCCUUUGUGCACAUACUGAGAGACACACUCCUAAUCAAGAGCGAAAAGAGAUUCGAUUCGGCGGUCGUCACGGCCUGGAGUCUGAUACAGCUUCUUCUGUGUCUCGCUUCCUCGGAGCUUCUCUAUGGGACAUACUGUUACUGGUGCCAACCACUCUUGUCGGACAAAUUUCUGCACGAUCCCAAAGACAUCUCUACUGCGCUUACUGUCAUUACUAUAGAUUCGUUCCAGAUAGAUACCUUGCGCUUACUUUGGUGCCUAUGUGCAACGGGUGCUUCCCUCGUUCAUUCUUCCGAUAGUACCACUAGGCCUAGGUCGGACAGCAAACUCCUCAUGUCUAGCCACUCCCCUCAGUGGUAUAGCCUUUCAGUAUUCCUUCUCGCAACAUCUCUGUUUCCCUUAUAAAAACUCUGACAGCAAUCACUGCCUGUUGUUGCCGCCUGAAGACUGAAAAAAUUGUGCGUAUACCUUGAAACAAUUCAUCUUGCCCUCCUGGGUCGCAAUAAAAGCACUUAAAGUGCGACCUUCUGGACAUGACCUCAGUCGUCCUCUUUGAUGACCUCUCUUCGACUCUUCCUUGACCUCUUAUCAGGACCUCUUCUUUUGAACUUUCUUUGGAACUCGUUGUAAGUUCUUUACUGUGUUAGCCUCUCUGAAGCUUCACCACAAGCUCCUCAUUAAGACUUUGUCUGAGAUGUCUUCUCCGGGACAUCUCCUCAACUGGUCCACAACCCAUUGAGCACUAUUGUCAUCGUGCUACAUGAUGGAACACCUCGUUGUCCAAUGCAUUGUAUGCUAUGCCCAAUCAUCUUUUGUUUCAUCUCAUUUCCUCAUCCUUUGCGUUUUCCUGGGGUGUAAUCGCCAUCUAAAAGCAUGAUCAGGGCUCUCAAAUACUCCGCCAUUUUACUUAUCCAAAAUGAAAGCGAAAUCUUGAAAACAACCUCGCGAAUGGAAUCGGGAAUGCCCCGAGAAGAAACUUCAGGAAAGAAGCUUUUCUAUCAAAAAUCAGACACUCUGGGACCCAAAUGAUUAAAUCAGAACUUCAGGGACUAACUUUAAUUUUUUCAAAACUUCAGGGACCCAAUCGGAAUUCACAGAAAGUCCAGGGACAAAAGUUGACAAUUUUGAGUGGACUGGUUCAACGAGUCAACGAAGCUUUGUAGUCCUUGACCGAUCAACAGCUGGUCCAACGCUCGGUAACGGCCUGGUCAAUGUCGGUCAAUGGCUAUGUCAAAGGCUUCGGUCAACGGGUCAAACAGAAAGAAUAUUAAGGAUAUUUUAUUUGCUGAUGCAAUGAUGACGCAGUGACAAAUUCAUUUUGCCAGGGUGACACAGGCGGUGGGCCAUAGUUUUCUCCUCAGCUUCUGGAAGCGGUGCUGGGGCGCGUGAAUGGCGCGCCUGAGAGUAGAUCUCACAUGCCAAUCUUCAGGCGGAGCGUUACUGGGGGAGCGUCGCUUAGCGUCCGUUUUUUUGACGCGGUUUGAUUGUCUGGAGUUCAUCGCGAAGGGAGACGAAACACUCUCUGGUGCUAUCAGGGGAAUUGAUUUCGAGCACUUUUAUAGAGGGUCCGAAACUCGGGCCUGGGGCUCUGAUACUAAUUGUUGUGCCCAAGACCAGUCACCCAUCACAUCAUAACAAUGUUAAACACACACAGGAGACACAGAUAUACGUGGCUCGGCCAAUUGCCUACGUCACACAUAGAGAAAACAAUAUUCACUAACACCGAAUGAAUUACAUACAAAAUGAGGAGAUCACACCCUCGCAUCUAUAAACAUCUCACUGUCUGUCUUCUAUACAGCACCCACAACACUCCACCAAAACACAAACCCCCCUCACUCCCCAGCCCAUUUGCACACAGCAACAUGCUGUGUGCUCCUAAGUAAUCCCCAAGGAUUACAUUUCUGUACACCCACUCCUCUUUACUCAGAGACACAGCCUUAUAUAGAAAGUGGAGUAGCCUCCAUUCUUAAAAUGGAGGGCCAGAUUGCAGGCCAGCUAGCUAAAGAAGACCAGCAUCGCAGGACUUCAAAUUGGUGCAGCAGCAAAUGACGACCUUCAUUCAGACAAGAAGGAAUUCUCAAAAUAUAGCAUUGGGUUGGCUUGGACUGGGCUUGAGCCUGCGGCCUGGGCCAUUAGUGUUGGGAAUCCCAAGUGGCUUGGGCUUCUUCUGAAAUGGGCUGGACUUUAAUAGAUACCAAUUAUGACAUGAAGCGACAACAAUCUACACAUAAAGGAAGAGAAAAAGAUAUUGGAAUCCACACCAAUGCAAUUGGAAAAACCCUUAUUCCUUUAUUCCAUAUUCCCAACGACAACGUCUAGAGCCAUUUCAUUGGUGGUAAAGAGGAAAAACAUGACCAAAAAGGACAAAAACUAUCAAAUAUUAGCCCCCCAAUAAAGAUAAAUCCCAAGUAAAUUCAGAUCCUCUGGUGUCGCAUCAUCACGCAUCACGAUGAUACCAUUCAGUCUGACCGUGGAUGUAAGAACGCAAACCCAGAAUUUUGACGAAUUAAUGACGGAGAUUGAAUGUUCGGCAUCUCUACUUUGGGCAUUGACUUGGAGAUGUCAUCCACAUAGAAAGGAAUGCUGCAUGAAAUAAGUAUCUAAUUAUCCUUAAAAAUUCUAUAAUGUUUCCUUUCCAAAGUAUUCUGUUAAUUAAAGUGAAAAUAGCAUGACUGGUGUGGAAAAAAAGAGAACCAACCUUUCCCCUCCUCCACCCUCUCAUUCCCACUGUGUUGUCCUCCCUCCCGUCUCAACAUUUUAAAUAAUUAAUCCAAGAAAAGCUACGAAUCGUAGUUUUAAAAAAAAAAAACUUACUUUUUUGGGUCAGACAAGCUGAAAAAGGUCCCAAACAUGAUUUCUUAUUUUUUAAAAAAAAAAUCUAAUCUAGUUUGUUUAUAAAUUCUAGCAAAGAGACAUAAUGUGUGGGCUAUUCACUGGCGUAAAAAUUUGUCGAAAGACUCGAAACACUACCUUUUGUCGUCAUCUAACAAAAACUCAGCGUCAUUGUUCUCGUUCGAAUCCUCUGUCAUCAACACUCUCAUACUUGAAAGCACCUGUACCAUUACAUUGUUUUCUAUAGUAAAUUUUGCUUGGAGGAGGAAUACAGUAUACGGAGUCACAAAUAUAAGCUAAGCAAUAUUACCGAAGGUAAAUUUCACCGACUUCUCUCAAGUUUCUGACAAAUGCAGUCAUCUCCCCUAUAAUUUUUGAAAUAUCAAUGAUAUUCCUUAUUUUUUAAGCUCUUAUCAAAAUUCCUUUCAGCCGUCAAUUAGGCCGAGGGGACGUUAACAUUUUUUUUUUAGCAAAUAUGACAAAAAGUAUCUAAGGGCACUUUUAUUAUUUUAACCAAAAAAUUAAAGUCAUCCAGACUAAAUUAACGGCAGGAGGAUUCUUAACAAUAACUUCGAAAGUAAUGAAAAGGUUAGUGAUAUUUCAAAAACAUAAGAGAAGUAACUUCAUUUGUCAGAUUAUAGGUGAGACAACUCUUGUGAAACAAACUUUACUUACCUCCAGGGACACAGUAUGGGUGCCCUGUUUGUCAUCCCAAUACAAUGAACUGAUUCUGUAUAAUUGUUGUAUGCUGAGCUUCUGAAAAAGUAUCAAACCAACCAUAAGGUUAAUUAGGGAUAGCUAAAUUACUAAUUGAGCUACUUUUAUUUUUGAAUUCUUUUUUGUAUUUAAUGAAUAUCUUUUACUUUUUUAUCAAAAAUAUAAUUAACAGUUUUUCAACUCUUCCUGAUGACAGGGAAUCUGAAAAAUUAUAAAAUUUGAUCCAAUUCAAAAAAAUGUUUCCAUUUUCAUUGGAAAAUAAACUAAUUUUUUCUUUCAUGGACUUAAUUAUUUUUUCCAAAUUGAUCUAACUUGAAGAAAAGCUUUCAAUUUCACUUUAAAUAAGCUAAAAUUUAUCUCUAACAAAAAAAUGAUCUAUAUUUUUAGAUUCCUCCCGUUAAAAGGAAUCAAAAAAGUAUAACUUUUAUCAAAGAGUGAAAAUGGUUCACUAAAAAUCAAAAAUAAAAUAAGAAAUUAGCCGUCAAAAGGAGCCUAAAUUAGAAAAAAGAACAAAUAAAUGAAGAGAGAGAGAGAGAGAGAUAGAGUACACUCUAGUCACACAAUUGCCAUCAAGGUUCCCGCUCUCGCUCCCAAAUCGCUGUUUUUUUGUUGGGGGAAAUUAACGAAUUUAGUAAAAAUCGUGUAUAAUUCGCGAAUUUUAAGUUUGAGAGCGCGAAUUCUAAUUUUUCGAGAGCGCGGAUUCUGAAUUUUGAGAGCGCGAAUUUUAAAUUUUGGAGCGAGGAGUGUUUUUGAAUUUGGGAGAGAGGAUUUGAAUUGGGGAGCGGCGAAUUUUUAAUUUUUUUAUUUAUUUACUUUUAAAAAUUAAUUUUCGUAAAUUUAACUGUUAAAAAAAAUCUUUUGAAUAAUUUUGUUUUUUUUUUUUCUUCUAUUUAUGGUAGUUUUUGCAACCCAUUACUUUUAAGUCUUGUUUAAUAUAUGUAUUUUUUAGCGCUUUAACUCCUAUUUUAUAAAAGAUGGUGAUCGUUAAUUGUUUCGUUGGUACACCUAAUUUCACACAUUUUGUCGGAAGAGGGUCUCGCUCGACUCCAAAAUUGCGAAUUUUAACGAAUUUUGAUGAAAAUCGUGUAAAAUUCGCGAAUUAAUUGUUUUUGAGAGUGCAAAAUUUUAGUUUUUGAGAGCGCAAAUGUUCAAUUUUAACAGCGCCGAUAUUUUAAAAAUUGUUCAAAUUAACUUUUUAUAAUACCACUUUGUUCGUAUAACGAUCAAGUCAAAAGAAUUAAACACAUGCACCAUAACUUGUAACCUGCAUCUCACUCGCCGACUGCAAAGUGGUACUCACGCGACUAACCAGUAUGCGCCUGAGAUCUAACCCUCUCAUGCCCUGCAUGUGCCACAGAGGUAAACAGGGUAAUGGCAACUGUGCCGCACCACAGCCCACGGUCCCACGUGCGACGUCAUCGCUUAUGUCAGCGAAUAUUUCAAGAAUAGGUUUUUUGUCUUCCAAAUUACACUUUCAGUUCCUUAAAAUUUAUAAAACGUCAUAAUGUGAUCUUAAACUUGAUAAAUUAUAGAUAGUAACUUUAAUAAACUAUAGCUUGAUAAAUUAAUAAACUUUGAAACCUUUAUUUAUUACUAAUAUACAUAUAUAAAUUUAAUAUAUUAUUUAUUUUCGGGCGCUCUGAAGUGACGGCUCUCGCUCUCGUACUAUUUUACAUGACGCUCAUCGCGCUCCCCCGCUCUUCUGCUCUCCCGCUCCCCCUUCUGUCCCACAUCUUCUCGCUCCCGCUUUCGAAUUUGUGACUUGAGGUGACGGCACGGAUGGACACUGCCACCAACAAUUGGCAACAUGUCACCCGUUGCAGUCAAUUUGGCGAUUGCGCUCUCCCCUCAACCAAUGACCCUCCCCCUUAGUCACACCAAUUCGUCCAUCAAGGUCCUCGCUCCUCGCUCUCCCAAAAUCGCGAAUUAAAAACGAUUUUAGUAAAAAUCGUGUAUAAUUCGCGAAUUUUAAUUUUUGAGAGCGCGAUUCUAAUUUGAGAGCGCGGAUUCUGAAUUUUGAGAAGCGCGAAUUUUAAUUUUGAGAGCGAGAUUUGAAUUUUGGGAGCGAGGAUGUUGAAUUUUGGGAGCGCGAAUUUUAUUUUAUUUAAUUUCUUUUUAAAAUUAUAUUUGUUCUUAAAUAUUUUAACUGUAUAACAAAAUAUUUGAAAUGAUUUUGUUAUUUAAUGGUAUUUUUUUUGCAACCAUUACUGUUAAGUCUAUGUUUAACCUAUAUGUAUUAUUUUAGCUUACUUUUAACUAAAUUAUUUAAUAAAAGAUUUGAUCGUAAUAUGUUUCCUGGUUUACACUCUAAUCACCAAUUUUUGUCGAAGAGGUUUCUCACCUUCGACUUCCAAAAUUGGGGGGGGGGGGGGGGUGCCGAAUUUACGAAUUUUGAUGAAAAUCGUGUAAAAUUCGCGAUUAUUUGUUUUUGAGAGUGCAAAAUUUGUUUUUGAGUAGCGCAAAUGUUUAAUUUUAACAGCUGCGAUAUUUUAAAAAAAAGUGUUCACAAAAUUAAACUUUUUUAUAAUAACCACUUUUGUUCGUAUAAACGAUACAAGCAAAAGAAUUAAACACAUGCCCAAUAAACAUUGUAACGCAUCCUCACGCGCCGACUAGCAAGUUGGUACUCACGCGACUAACAGAGGCGCGUGAUAUCUACCCGCAUCAUGCUCCGCAUGUGCCGACAGAGGUAACAGGGGAAUGGGCAAAUGGCCGCACACGCCCCACGGUCCCACGUGCGGACGUCAGCGCUUAUGUCAGCGAAUAUUCAAGAAUUUAGUUUUUGUCUUCUAAAUUACACUUUCAGUUCCUUAAAAUUUAUAAAAAUAAGUUUACUUAACUUGAUAAAUUAUAGAUAGAUUAGUAAACUUAAUAAACUAUAGCUUGAUAAAUUAUAACUUUGAUAAUUUAUUUAUUACAAAAAUUACAUAUAUAAAUUUAAUAAUAUUAUUAUUUCGGCGCUCUGAAGACGCUCUCGCUCUCGUACUUAUGUUAGCAAUUGACGCUCUCGCGCUCCCGCUCUCGCUCUCGCUCCAGCUUUCGAAUAUUUGUGAUUAGGUGACGGCACGGAUGGACAGGCCAGCCAACAAUUGGACACCCCGUUGCAUCAAUUGCAUGCGUUCUCUCCCAAUGACCCUCCCCCUUAAGUCACAACCAAUUCGUCCAUUUCAAGGGUCCCGCUCUCGCUCCCAAAUCGCGAAUUAACGAAUUUUAGUUUAAAAAUCGUUGUAUAAUUCGCGAAUUUUAAUUUUGACGAGCGCGAAUUCUAAUUUUGCGAAGAGCGGAUCUGAAUUUUGAGGAGCGCGAAUUUGUAAAUUUGGACGGGAGCGAGGAUUUUGAAUUUGGGAGCGAGGAUAUUUUGAAUUUGGGAGCGCGGAAUUUACUUUUUUUAUUUAUUUACUUUUUAAAAUGAUAUUUUCUUAAAGAUUUUAACUGUAUUAAAAAAAUAUUUGAAUGAAUUUCUGUAUGUAUGGUAGUUUUGGCAACCAUACUUUUAAGUCUUUUAAUUAUAUGUAUUUUUAGCUUACUUUUAACUAAAUUAUUUAUAAAAGAUUUGAUCGUUAAUUGUUUCGCUGGUUACAACCAAGUCACACAAUUUGUCGGAAGAGGGUCUCGGCUUCGACUCCAAAAUUGCGAAUUUACGAAUUUUGAUGAAAAUAGUUGUAAAAUUCGCGAAUUAUUGUUUUUGAGCGUGCAAAAAAAUUUGUUUUGAGGAAGCGCAAAUGUUAAAUUUUAACAGCGCGAUAUUUUAAAAGUGUUCAAAAUUAAUUUUAUUAAUACCACUUGUUCGUAUAUAUACCGAUACAAGUCAAAGAAGUAAACACAUGCACCAAUAAAAAUUGUAACGCAUCCUCACGCGCCGACUAGCAAAGUGGGGGUACUCACGCGACUAACAAGAGGCGGUGAGUGAGAUCUCCCCUCAUAAUGCGCCGCAUGUGCAGACAGAGGUAAACAGGGAAGGGGCAAAUGUUGCCCGCAAAACGCCCACGGUCCUCCCAGUUGCGACGUCAUCGCUUAUGUCAGCGAAAAUAGUUUCAAGGAAGAUGUUUUGUCUUCUAAAUUACACUUCAGUUCCUUAAAAUUUAUAAAAAUAAAGUUACAACUUUGAUCAAUAUAGAUUAGAACUUAAUAAACUAUAGCUUGAUAAUUAUAACUUUGAUAAUUUAUUUAUAACUAAAAUACAUAUAUAAAUUUAAUAUAUUAUUAUUUCAGUGACGGCUCUGAAGACGCCUCUCGCUCUCGUUAAUAUUCGCAAUUGACGCUCUCGCGCUCCGCUCUCGCUCUCGCUCCCGCUUUCGAUUGUGGUUGACUUAGAG
rnacentral:lncRNA from 1 species